rnacentral:tRNA from 1 species
GAUACAGUGCCAGAGAGUUAUGGGUCAUCUUGAUGUGGUGAAAUACGGUAAGUUAGUUUAUCCUGUAUCU